rfam:Felis catus isolate Cinnamon breed Abyssinian chromosome B1, whole genome shotgun sequence.
GCCUGGGUGGCUCAGUCAGGUAAGUGUCUGACUUCAGCUCAGGUCAUGAUCUCACAGUGUGUGGGUUCGAGUCCCGUGUCGGGCU